UCUUGCCAUUCUCAUUUCUCACUCACCUUUUACUUUAUUGCUUGAUAAUGUAUGGUUUUAUUUCUAUAUGUGGUGUCCUUUUGUAUUUUUUAUUUAUUGCUAACCGGAUGCUGAUUCCAAAAGUGGGUUGAGCAGGCUGGUUUAACUAUGACCACGAGAUGCCCACUUUUACAGGGCGCAUAUCAGGUGUUUGAAGUUAUGCCCUCGUUUCGGGGCCCUGUGAUACGGGGGCAGAAAAGUGGUGGGAGAUUUAGCCUUCAGUACUUCAUCACGGGAUGCUUGUUUCUCCCUGAGAAAAAGGUCCUAGUUUGGACUCGCCGGGCAAAAAACAGAACUCAAGUGUUUUUCAUGCUACUGAAUAAGCAUAACAUUUAGUCGGUCGUGACAAUCAAAAUGUGUUAAACCUCCCAGGCUCCUCCUAAGCUGCAGAAAGCAAGAAGAAUAGCCUGUCAGAACUACCCAGAAAGCGGGAAUACGCAUAGCUUGAGCGCUGAAAAAGCACAAGGCAAAUUGUUAAUUCCUAAGCAAUGCUUGCUCAAUUGAAGACAUAUAGUGAUUGAGGCUGGGUUUUUGUAGAUAAAGAAGAUUUGCAGCAUAGGAAUCAAAGCAGACUGAUCGGCAUGCAUUGCAUUUGGCAUUUCAACAGUACCUGGAUUUUUUUUUCAAUUUUUUUUUCCGGCCUGAAGCAUUAUCUGGUCAGAAUCACUAGAGAAGGAUUUCAAGUAACUGCUUCAUUGUUGAGAUUGAGACAUAAAGGCUUUGAGGCUUCCCAAUUUUGACUUUUGAUAGUAAUUUGGGCGGCCGAGCGACGAAUGAAGGUUCAUGCAAUUUUGUUAUUUUCAUGAAAAAGGUUAUAAUACAACGGAAAUAGCACUUACUGGAAAUGCCAAACUGAGCCCGGCUAGUACUUGAUUGCUACAUCGCUGAUUUAUCUCUUUGACUCAAAUGGGAAGUUUAUAUGAUAUCCGAAAAAACCCGUGCACUUAGAGAAUGCAGGGUGUCUGGUUUUCUUUGAAUUCCGCUGGUGGGCUGAUAGGCUGAACAUGGAGGUACUGAAAUGAUGCAUUCUGUUAUGAGCUUGUGUUCUUGGGCCUUGAUUGAAAAUAACUCAUUCUUCAAUUUUUGUCCCUACCUAUUACGCUGAUCAAUAUCUCUCAAUAUUCAUUUAUCUGUCCAGGAGUUGUAUACUGUUCAGGAAUCCAUUUGUUGUUCUCCAUUCUUCUCCUAACAGUUAGAAUCAAAGUAGAAUAGAAACUUUGAACCCAUCAAUGUAACGAUGCUGGCAUAGAAAAUAAUAAUAAUAGUAAAACACAGUUCCUCCGUGAGAGUU